rnacentral:rRNA from 1 species
CAGCAGUGGGGAAUAGUUGCACAAUGGGCGCAAGCCUGAUGCAGCAACGCCGUGUGAGUGAAGAAGGUUUUCGGAUCGUAAAACUCUGUCCUAAGGGAAGAAACAAAUGACGGUACCUUAGGAGGAAGCCCCGGCUAACUACGUGCCAGCAGCCGCGGUAAUACGUAGGGGCAAGCGUUAUCCGGAAUCACUGGGCGUAAAGGGUGCGUAGGCGGCUUAGCAAGCCAGGGGUGAAAGGCAUUGGCUCAACCAAUGUAAGCCUUUGGAACUGUUAAGCUUGAGUGCAGGAGAGGUAAGUGGAAUUCCUAGUGUAGAGGUGAAAUUCGUAGAUAUUAGGAGGAACACCAGUGGCGAAGGCGACUUACUGGACUGUAACUGACGCUGAUGCACGAAAGCGUGGGGAGCAAACAGGAUUAGAUACCCUGGUAG